GACGAACGCUGGCGGCGUGCUUAACACAUGCAAGUCGAACGGAAAGGCCCUGCUUUUGUGGGGUGCUCGAGUGGCGAACGGGUGAGUAACACGUGAGUAACCUGCCCUUGACUUUGGGAUAACUUCAGGAAACUGGGGCUAAUACCGGAUAGGAGCUCCUGCUGCAUGGUGGGGGUUGGAAAGUUUCGGCGGUUGGGGAUGGACUCGCGGCUUAUCAGCUUGUUGGUGGGGUAGUGGCUUACCAAGGCUUUGACGGGUAGCCGGCCUGAGAGGGUGACCGGCCACAUUGGGAAUUGGAUUCGGGCCAGACUUCUUCGGGAGGGAAGAGGGGGGGAUUAUGGAAAAUGGGCGGGAGGCCGAAGGAGGAAAGCCGGGUGGGGGGUGACGGCCUUCGGGUUGUAAACCGCUUUCGCCUGUGACGAAGCGUGAGUGACGGUAAUGGGUAAAGAAGCACCGGCUAACUACGUG
rnacentral:rRNA from 1 species